rnacentral:misc_RNA from 1 species
AACGCACAUUGCGCCCUUUGGUAUUCCAAAGGGCAUGCCUGUUCGAGCGUCAUUUGUACCCUCAAGCUUUGCUUGGUGUUGGGCGUCUUGUCUCUAGCUUUGCUGGAGACUCGCCUUAAAGUAAUUGGCAGCCGGCCUACUGGUUUCGGAGCGCAGCACAAGUCGCACUCUCUAUCAGCAAAGGUCUAGCAUCCAUUAAGCCUUUUUUUUCAACUUUUGACCUCGGAUCAGGUAGGGAUACCCGCUGAACUUAA